UACGAAGGGUGCAAACGUUGCUCGGAAUUAUUGGGCGUAAAGCGCACGUAGGCGGCUUAGCAAGUUGGAUGUGAAAGUUUUCGGCUCAACCAAGGAAGUGCAUCCAAAACUGCUGAGCUUGAGUAGUUAAGAGGAUCGUGGAAUUCUUGGUGUAGAGGUGAAAUUCGUAGAUAUCGGGAGGAAUAUUAGUGGUGAAGGUGGUGAUCUGGGAACAUACUGACGCUGAGGUGCGAAAGCGUGGGGAGCAAACAGG
rnacentral:rRNA from 1 species